UACGUAGGCAGCAAGCGUUGUUCGGAGUUACUGGGCGUAAAGGGUGCGUAGGCGGCUUUUUAAGUUUGGUGUGAAAUCUCCCGGCUCAACUGGGAGGGUGCGCCGAAUACUGAGAGGCUAGAGUGUGGGAGAGGGAAGUGGAAUUCCCGGUGUAGUGGUGAAAUGCGUAGAUAUUGGGAGGAACACCAGUGGCGAAGGCGACUUCCUGGCCUGUUCUUGACGCUGAGGCGCGAAAGCUAGGGGAGCAAACGGG
rnacentral:rRNA from 1 species